rnacentral:lncRNA from 1 species
GUUUAUUUUUAUUGCUAGCCUUCUCUUCCCCCAUGGAAAGAGGCAUUCUCCGUUUGAUUUGAAAUGCAAUGUCCUGAUCUGUUUUCUGGUGAGUACCUGGAUGAUGGCUUAAAUGUGUUUCUUCCACUUUUGAAUGAGGAGGAAUAAACUGGAAGUUAGUUUGCUGUACUCUCAUCUCCUUGUGAGAGGAGAAUAAUGAGAAAGAGAGCAUGUUAAUAGCCAAAAGAUUAUAGCUACCCCUCCUGUUGCCUUUGCCUGCCUCUCAUGACUGUUUGUCAUGUCCAGCAGCUCCUGGUGUCACCUCCAGCUCCCUGCAUCCUGCCUGUUCCUGCUGAAAGCCAGGUCACCUGCCUGUUGCCUUCACGCCAUGCUCACUCUCAGCUCCAGCUCACCUGUGGCACUGUGGAAUCCAUGGUGCCAUCUCAGAUCAGUGCCAGAUCACCUCCACCAAACCCUGCAAAUGCCCGGCAGAAAGCCCAGAAUGGUUCUAGUGGGCUAAAGAAAUGGAAGCUUUCAACUGCUACUGAACAAAAAGUAAGUGAGAAAAUGAGCAUCCUCCUUCCACCACUCUGCCAGCCUCUCACCUAGCUUCUGCCACAAGCCCUAUGCCAUCUGGGGUUAUUUUAUAAAGCAUCUUCUCAUGGGGAAACCCAGCUCUUGCUGAAGGGACAAGCUGUAGUUUCUGGUUAGGGUGCCCCAGCACGCAACGGCGUGCUCAGAAACCUGAAGCUUUGAUACAACUUCCAGUGAACUGUGAAAAAUAAGUCAGCGCCGAGCGUUCAGAUGGGCUGCUCAGAAGACAUCUGUGCUCUUUCGCGCUUUGCAUCGGGCUGCGUGGAAAAGCCCCUGGGCUGGAGCUGGGUAUUUCUGUAGCGGCUGCCGGGCGCACUGCAGGGAACUGGGAGCGCAGGGGAGAACAGCACGUCCUCACGCCCGCGGGCUUUUGGAAGUGCCUCUUACACACGCCGUCGUUAUGGGUACGCAUUCUGUUUUGUGUUUCUCACUCUAUUGCUUUCGGUAAUCCCGAAAUUCUUUUUUAGUCUUUUUUCACGAGCACGUGGUACCUUUCGUUCCUCUUCCCUUUCGCUACCUCCCCCCCG